GUACAUAGGUCAAAACAAAAUCAUCGAGGGGCCCAGAUAUCAGCUUCUAAUCCAAGAAGGAACACAUAAACUUCGACUUAUAUGUUUGAUCUACCACUCAUUGAAUUACACACAAAAGCACGUUUUAUAACAUUGAGUUACCAAUGCGUUUUCGUACAAUCAAUGCAUAACCAACUUGUAAGUAACAAAUCAUAUCUCUAGGUUUGAAGACUUAUAUGAUAUUACCGUCUCACAAUCACUCGAGAUAGAAUUCCAUGAAGUGAUUCCAGUGAGCGUGGGUUGAGUCCAAUGCUCAGAACUUAUGAGCACUCAUGAUUGUUGUAGCCUUGUCCAACACCUUAGACCUCUACAACCCAUCAUGACAGUCUUGAUUCAUACCUACUUCCGACAUAUGACCGACUGUGGAGGUUUGAAUAAUAUGUUAUACCAAACAAAAUUAUUCUGGAAGUCAAAACAUGCAAAAGAAAUAUAGUAAACGAUCGACAAGAGAUAGCAACACUUUACUCAUAAAUAAAACACCUUUUAUUCAUCAUCUAAUGUCAAUUACACUUUACAAAUUUCGGGGUUAUCUAACUACUAAAUCUAAUAUCAUCCUUCAGCCCUAUGCUCCGAGCAUGCUGGAGAUGCUUAACCCGAGUCAGUCCCUUCGUGAGGGGAUCUGCUGGGUUCUCAUCCGAUGAUACCCUCUUUGCCACGAGGAGUCCUUCUUCGAUCCGAUGUCUGAUGAAAUGGUAUUUUCUGUCGAUGUGUCUGGAUCUCCCGUGAUCCCUUGGUUCCUUGGCUAAGGCAACAGCACUUUCACUAUCACAGAAAAUUUCCAUUGGCUCUUUAAUAGCUGGUACAACUCCAAGGUCUCCAAUGAAGUUCUUCAGCCAUAUCGCCUCCUUUGCUGCUUCACUAGCUGCAAUAUACUCUGAUUCACAAGUAGAAUCUGCCACUGUCUCUUGCUUGGAACUCUUCCAAGAAAUUGCUCCUCCGUUUAGGGUAAAGACCCAGCCCGACUGAGAGCGGAAAUUAUCCCUAUCAGUCUGGAAGCUAGCAUCACUAUACCCUACAACUCUCAAGUCAUCACUCCCACCGAGGGUAAGGACCCAGUCCUUAGUCCUCCGUAGGUACUUGAGGAUAUUCUUUACCGCAGUCCAGUGUGCCUUGCCAGGGUUCGCCUGAUACCUGCUAACCAUGCUCAAGGCAAAAGCUACAUCGGGUCGAGUACACGUCAUAGCAUACAUGAUCGAUCCUACAGCCGAAGCGUAAGGUGUUCGACUCAUUUCUGCUAUCUCAGCCUCAGUGCUAGGGCUUUGUGUCUUACUCAAUCUGGUGUUACUCUGGAUGGGUAACUCUCCUUUCUUGGAAUCCUGCAUGCUGAAUCUCUUCAGCACCUUAUCCAAGUAGGUACUCUGACUAAGUCCAAUUAGUCUUUUACUCCGAUCUCUCAAGAUUCUUAUCCCUAGAAUAUAGGCAGCUUCACCAAGGUCCUUCAUAGCGAAACACUUCCCAAGCCAGGACUUUACUUCCUGCAGGGUUGGAAUGUCGUUUCCUAUGAGUAGUAUGUCAUCCACAUACAAUACCAAAAAGCUAACUAUACUCCCACUAGCCUUGACAUACACACAAGAUUCAUCUUCACUCCUAGAAAAGCCAAAUUCCUUGACCUUUUCAUCAAAGCAAAGAUUCCAUCUGCGAGGUGCUUGCUUCAAUCCAUAAAUGGAUUUCUCAAGCUUACACACUCUAUUAGGGUACUCGUUGCUGACAAAACCCUCUGGCUGACUCAUGUAAACAUCUUCAGCCAACUUUCCAUUAAGGAAAGCGGUUUUGACAUCCAUCUGCCAUAUUUCAUAGUCAUGAAAUGCAGCUAUGGCUAACAGAACCCGAAUAGACUUAAUCUUGGCUACCGGAGAAAAGGUCUCAUCAUAAUCCACUCCAGGAAUUUGAGAGAAGCCCUUUGCAACCAGUCUAGCCUUAUAAGUGUGUACUUUACCAUCCAUGUCGGUCUUCUUCUUGAAGACCCAUUUGCACCCUACUGUCUUACGACCUGGUACAUUUUCAACCAAGUUCCAAACUUGAUUGUCAUACAUGGAUUGUAUCUCGCUAUCCAUAGCCUCUUUCCAUUUAGCAGACUCGGGGCCUGCCAUGGCUUCCUCGUAGCUGUUAGGGUCAUCUUGACUUACUAGUGUCUCAUCACUAAUAAGUGUCUCACCUUCUGCAGUAAUAUGGAAUCCAUAGUAAUGCUCAGGUGCACUCCUAACUCUCGUGGAACGUCUCAGAGGUACAGAUUUGUCAAUUGGCUCAACAGGAGUUUCCUCCUCAAGUUGAGGGCUAGAGUUUGAAGUUCCUUCACCGCUUGAUUCUUGAAUUUCUUCAAGAUCAAUUUGCCUCCCACUGUCUCCUUGGCUUAUAAACUCUCUUUCUCGAAAGACUCCUCUUCUUGCUACAAAGACCACAUUGUCACUAGGUCUGUAGAAGAGGUAACCAAAGGAUCGCUGUGGGUAACCGAUGAAAAUACACCUCUCGCUUCGAGGUUCGAGCUUAUCAUGAGUCUCGCGUCUCACGAAAGCCUCGCAACCCCAAAUCUUGAUGUGGUCUAGUUUAGGUACUUUACCAGUCCACAUCUCGUGAGGAGUUUUGGCAACUUUCUUUGUAGGGACUAGAUUAAGAAUAUGGGCGGCAGUCUCUAAGGCAUACCCCCAGAAUGAGAUUGGUAGCGUAGCUCGACUCAUCAUGGAACGAACCAUAUCUAACAAGGUUCGAUUACGCCUCUCAGCCACACCAUUCAACUGUGGUGUCCUGGGAGGUGUCAAUUGUGAGACUAUCCCACAUUCCCUUAGAUAGUCGAGGAACUCUGAACUAAGAUACUCACCACCACGAUCGGAUCGAAGCAUCUUAAUGUUCCUGCCCAAUUGAUUCUCGACUUCCUGUUUAAAUUCCUUAAACCUCUCGAAAGUCUCUGACUUAUGCUUGAUCAAGUAGACAUAUCCAUAUCUACUAUAAUCAUCAGUAAAAGUCAAAUAAUAACGAUUAGCAUCCCUUGUGGCAUGUUUGAAUGGUCCACACACAUCCGUGUGUAUAAGGUCCAACAAACCUUCACCCCUCUCACACGAACCUGUGAAGGGUGACUUUGUCAUUUUUCCAAGUAAGCAUGAUUCGCAACUAUCAUCUGACUUUAGGUCAAACGACUCCAAGACUCCAUCCUUUUGGAGUUGGCCUAUGCGUUUCUUGCUUAUAUGUCCAAGACGACAAUGCCAUAAAGAUGCUUUAUCCAAGUUAUUAUUAGUAGAAUCAAUACACAAAACAUUAUUUCCCAAGUUAUCUACAACAGAUACAGCUUCAUACACACCAUCACAAGGUAAUGCUUUAAAAUAAAAGACAUUAUUAUAGAAAACAUCUAUAGAACCAACUUCAUUAUUAAAUGAAAAGGUAAACCCUUGUUUGUACAAAGCAUGAAAGGAAAUAAUAUUUCUUGCCAUUCCUGGCGAAUAACAACACUUAUUCAAAUCUAAACUAAACCCACUACUUAGCGAUAAAGUAUAAACUCCAAUCUUGGUAACAGGUAUAGCUUUCCUAUUCCCCAUGAUCAAGUUUAUCCUUCCUUGCUCCACAUCCUCACUUCUUCUUAGUCCCUGCAAGUCACAACAAAUGUGAAUACCACACCCGGUAUCAAGGACCCAAGAAUUAGAAUGGGGUGAGUUAUUAGAAAUGAUAGUGUAAAUACCUGCAUGGUUGGGUUUAACUUUCCCAUCCUUCACAUCUUGCUGGUAUUUUGGGCAGUUCCGCUUCCAAUGAGCUUUUUCAUGGCAAUAGAAGCAUUCAGCCUCUUUUGGGUCAGAAGAAGGAGUAACGAAACCUUUCUUGGUUCCACUUGAAGAAGAGCCAUCAAGGGUCCGAGCCUUGGUACCCUUAGAAGAGCUCUUUCUCUUCCUCCCUCGACUUUUCCCGAUUGCCAAAACCGGAGUAGAGUUUUGAGUAGGAGUGAUAGCAACCGACUUCCCCUUAAGACCUGUUUCUGCGGUCUUGAGAAGUCCCUGAAGUUUGCUGAGGGUGACUUCUUCCUUGUUCAUGUGAUAUGUCAUGCGGAAUUGAUCAUAGCACGAUGGUAAGGAAUGCAAAAUAAUAUCUAUUGCAAGAUCCUCCGGGAAGUUCACAUUAAGCUUCAGCAAACGAUCCACAUACCUUUGCAUUUUCUGCAUGUGGCUCGUGACGGAUUCCCCGUCCUUCAUCAUGGUUGUUAUCAUGGAGCAGAUGAUUUCAUACCUCUCUUGUCUUGCACUUUGAUGGUAUCUUUCCAUCAAAUCUUGGUGCAUGUCAUAAGGGUAGAAAUCCUCAUAAGACUUUUGGAGUUCCGCUGUCAUCGUGGCCAUCAUGAUGCAAGCCACUUUCGUAGCAUCCCUUUCAUGUGCCCGAAAUUCAGCGAUCUCCUGAGGAGUUGCAGUGGACUCAUCAAUCUCCUUAAGCUCCUUGUCAAGGACAUAUUCUUUGUCCUCGUAGCGGGUAAUCAUCCUGAUGUUUCUGAUCCACUCAUUGAAGUUGGAUCCAUCAAAGGUGACUUUCCCACACAAGUUCAUAAGGGUAAAGGAGCCAUUAGGAUUAGAGCCAGAAGCAUUGUUGAAAGACAUCUGAAGGAAAGAGGACAAGAUUAGUUUAGAUAUAAGAGAGUCCUUAAUAAAACACCCAAAUGUAAUAUUAAGGCUAGGAUCCAAUCACAAUAUAAUAUAACUUAGAAGAGGUAUGCCGUAAUCUAAGCUAUAUCAUAUUUGAAAGGUAGGUGAAUGACGAUUCACCAAUUUCCACCACGAAAACCGCAAUAUUUUAGUAUUAGGUUUUUGAAUGGUUCUUAGAAAUUCCUAGAUUCUUUGAGAUUCAAUGAACUUUUCAAAGGCAUGUUUCAAUCUCGAGUGUGCCCUCCAAGUUUUGUGACUGGGAUACCGAGGAUCACAAAACGAGGUGUGAAGUAACCAUGCAAAUCACUUGGUACCCUUAAAGUUUAUCACUCAAUCGAUGUGCCGGUUAACCACACACGCUCCAUCGAUACUAUAAUAAACCCUAAGUCACCCUUUACCUACCUUGUUAAGUCCAAGUUAGUGUGCCGGUUAACCACACACGCUCCACCAACGACUUAAUCAAAGUGUAAAGUGUAAUUUCAUGGAAUAGCACCUUAUUCACAUUUUUCCUAAAGUAACUAAGAUUGGGAAUUUAAUAAAACAUUUAGUUACUUUAUAAUAUUCAUCAUACUUUGAAUGAGAAUUAAUAAGUCCUUGUCUUACCCGUUCGGCUAACGACCCUCCACCGAUCAAGCAAGCGGUGGGUGAGAGUGGACACCCAUUAAGUCACCAUUUUAUAGGCAACAACCUUAUACCCACCUUAUAGACCGGCUUCGUGAAUGAGGCGUACUAGCGGUAAGACGACUUUGUUCUUAUACAUAUAUAUAUAAUUAUUAAAUCAUAAUAAUAUAAGUAUAAGGGUUGAAUUUUAACUUUUAAAAUUCUAGGGGUUGGAACUAAAGUUUUAACUUAACUUUACUUGUUCCAAAACUUGAGGGCAAGUUUUGUAAACUUUCAAAACUUUUCAUUUCUUGUAACUUAUGAGUUUAAUAGAGUAAUAAAAUGAGGACUUUUCAUUUUUCCUAACUCUUGUGUUCUUUUAAUGGUUUUUAAUCCAAGAGACUUUUGGUUUUCCAUAACUUGAGGACAAGUUAUGGACUCCAUUAAAACACAUUAUGAUCAUGAAUUAAUCUACCACAUAGGUUACAAAUAAUUCCUAUGAUCAUCUAAACAUCAUAAGAACAAGAAUAUGAAUAUGAACACUUUCAAGAAUCAAAAUCACAUUUAAUCUUUGUAAUUUUGAUAACUAGUUGUUGUAAAUGAGUUAGAAAAGACAUUACACCUUCUAAAAUAAGUUUUCAAGUACCAAAACAUUUUAGGGUAAUGAUUCUAAUCCAUUUCCAGCAACUCAAGUCGAAAUUCUGCACUCUGUCGACCCUACUCGCCGAGUGCAUAAACCUACUCGCCGAGUAGGUUGAAGAUACACAUGAACUCGACGAGUCCUCCCCAUGGACUCGCCGAGUCCAUCAGUCAGACAGCAGAAUUUUCGACUUUCUUCAACUUUUAAGCACAAAUAACAAACAAACAAGCCUAGGCUCUGAUACCACUGAUGGGUUUUGAGCAUUCUAACACUUCCUAAGUGUACAUGCAACCCUAAUAACCUUGGAUCUAUGUUUGUCUAAUUAUCAUGCAAAGUUGAAUUCCAAGGUUAUAUUCCUAUCUAGCAUAUAAGGAGAACAAUUUUAACUUGAAUGAAAGAUAGAAUAACAUACCUUUUUGUUGCUAAUGUUCCUAGAAACCUUGUGAGUCUAGCACCCCAAGUGUGAUGCCUCAAAUGCUUCACACAACACCAAAUGCUCUUGGAAAGACUCUUGAGAUAACACACACUUCUCAAAAUCGGCCAAGCCCUCUAGUUUCUUAGUGUUCAACUUGUGUAGCCAAUUUUGUGGAGAAUGGGACUCUUAUAUAGUGUUGGCACAUCUAGGGUUACACCAUGUAAACCCUAAUGUGUCAUGACUCUUCAUUUCCAUGACCCAUGGGUUUGUAACUCCCAUGGAGCAUCCAUGGAGCAUCCUAUGGGUAGAACCCAACUUGAUAAUCCAUGGAGCCUCUUAGCCCACUAUACAAGAUAUGAAUGAUUUACAUAAUCAACCCAUAUAUUUAAUUAGUUAUCCUUUGAUCACUUAAUUAAUUCUAAAUUAAUUCUUGAUCAAACUAAUCAAAUAAUAUUAUUAAUAUAUUAGAACUUAUAAUAUAUUAAUAAUCUCCAAGUGUUAUUUCUCUCAUUUAGUCUAUCCAAUUGCAUGGUGUCAUGCAACCCAAAUGGACCAUGCCGGGUCGGGUCAAGUACUUACCAGAAAUUGUUAUGGACUUAGACACCUUAUCCAACAGUUAAGUCACUGAUCCUACCAGUGGCCAACUCAAUAGGUUGGGAGAACCCAAAAGAGUUAAUGCUGGAAGCAUACUGCCCGUUGGCCGAAGUUCAAAAUCUGGAACAAGAACAAUGGGAGCUCACGAUGGUCGGCUCAGACAUAGUGGCCUAUACUGAUAGAUUUAGCGACUUAGCUACACUAUGCCCCGGGAUGGUUACCCCGGAGAGCAAGAAGAUCGAAAAGAUACAUCUGUGGUCUGACUGCCCUGAUCCAAGGAGAUGUGUUGUCUUCUAACCCGACCACAUUCGAUAGUGUCAAAUGUUUUACUCAGCGACUCAUCGACCAUGGAGUCCGCCAUUGUGUAGAAGUCCCCGUUCCCGAGCCAUCAAAGGGAGAGGACUAUAAACAGAAGUGGGGGAAUAAGAGGAAGAAGAAGCAAACAACACAUGAACCCCCACUAGAACAAAAAACGAGUACUAUGUACGCCGCUACAACACCUGCUGCUCCAGCACCUACCAGUUGGUAUGCUGGAACCCUCCCGAAGUGUGGAAAAUGGAACUAUCACCACACCGGAGUAUGCCGAGAAAUGCAGUGUCUGAACUGCCAUAGAAAGGGACACACUGUCCGUUUCUGCAGGGCACCGGCUCAACCGAUCUCCCAAGUCCCCAGUGUCGAAGACAACCAAGACUGCUAUGGCUAUGGUGAGACUGGUCAUUACUAGAGGGACUGCCCGAUAACAAAGAACUCAGGAGCAGAUGGACGAAUCCUGAUGAUCACCGCAGGAGAAUCAACCCCAUAGUCGUUAGCGAGUAGCGAUACGUUUUCGAAAUAGUAAUUAAUUUAUAUUUAUAUAAGAUUAAAAUUGGGGAAAACACUUAAAAGUAAUUUUAAUAACUCACGUAUUGAAACAAGUCACAUUAUUAGUAAGAACAAAAAGAUUCGCUCAGAGAAGCUAUGAUGGCUUAGUAUGUACAUCAGGGUUGUGCAUAACUAAGAUGUUGCAGACUUAGAGUGAGUGAUUCUGCCUUAAUUCUUGUUCCUUGUUUGGUUGUGGAUUUGAGGCAGAGUUACUCAGUCGACCGUAUUAUUCAUCUUAAUUAUUCAUAACUUGUAUAUCGCAGGCGAUCAUAGUGGUACCAAGGAGGAUCAUAGUAUAAUUUAUCGACACUAGUUAACAAAGCACUUUUGCAGUAUGUAUGCGCACAUCGCGGUACGAUACGAAGAAGUGUUAUCAAAAAGAAGAAAACAGAAAGCACUAGAACAGUUACAAAGAGUACAUUGUCGAACACACUAGGAGUACAUCAUCGUAGAACAAACGUUUCUUUCAAAUCGGCAAAAACUUUUUUCAGUAAAGAGUCCGUUACUAUCAUUCGUCAUGAAUUGCCGUGGUCCCCACCAUACUAAGUUCAUAUGUUUCUAUUGCCUCGACCGUCAAAUUCACGAAACCUUCAUCAUUCGUAUUGAUAGUACGACCUAAACCUCAGUUUUGUCUUUCAUAUCCUAAACCCCGAAGUACUCGUGCGAAGGGCAGUUUGUCCUCCAAAGCCUUGUUGUCGUAUGUCCCACAGACCGUCACGAAAUACCACUCAUCCAGCAGACCAAGUUCGAGCAUAGAGGCUAAGGACGAAUACAUCCCACCUAUUACUAUUCAGUGUAUAUGCGAGGGUGGUAUAUAAUUAUGAUUACGCAGAUUUAGUUUGUGUGCUUCCACCCUAUCUCUUGUUCCUUGUUUGGUUGUGGACCUGGGGUAGAGUCGCACAUCCAACCGUCUUACUAAUCCUAAUUAUAUGUGACUUGUAUACAUGAGGUAAUGAUAGAUGGACCGAGUAUGAGUCCAAUCAUGAACAAUAGGGCAAAGUUGCCAGGUCUACGAGUGGAUAUUCUGCAAAUCAGAGGAGCGCAACCACAGUAGUACUACUAAGAAAGCUAAUUUCGAGACGAAAUUCCAUCUAACGGGGGGAUGAUGUGAUAACCUGAAAUUUUUUGCCUUGUAAAGUCCAGCCAAUCAACCUUAAGUCAGACUUGCUCCUGCUAUCAUUUAGCAUUGUUUAGAGUCUGCUUGAGUGUUUGAAGACUAGUACAUUCAAGGAAUGAGUGUUAGGAAGUACCUGCUAGAUACUGUGGAACAUUCAACCCUUAAUCAUCAUUAAAAGGAGUUCACAGCCACAGCACUUGAGUUUAUGACCAUAAACUCAAGGUGGGCCAUAAACUCCCCCAUAUAGUCUCAUAUCCUUUAUUUCUUCCUCUUUCUUCACCAUUUCUAUCCAAGAACUCAAAAACUCUCUCAAGUAUCAUAAGGAUAUUCACUUUUUCUUCAAAAAUAUAAGUGUUCCAUUCCUUGAUUUGAUGAUACAUCUUCUUAACUAGCUUCAUCCUCAUGAUUCAUCCAUGAAAUCAUCCAUUUUGUCUAAAUCUUCAUAAUCUUCAACUUUCACCAAGAACACACACUAGUGUUUUGGUGCAAAAUCAACCCUUUCAAGAUUCAGUAUCGUGAGUACUCUUUCCUUAACUAGUUGUAUGCUAGAAACACUUGAUCUACACCUUGAAUUCAUCCAUUUCUCAAGACCAAAAGGAGUUUACAGCCAAGAGCAUAUCCCUUGCCGUAAACUCCUAUAAAGGUGCCAUUUUGGCCGUAAACUCUCCAAGAUGCAAAGCUUGUGACCUAGAAAACUUCCUUGAUACAAAAAGGACCUUAAACCACACACUUAGGCAUGUUGACCAUGAGUUUAUUGAUGGGUUUUGAGCAUUCUAACACUUCCUCAGUGUACAUGAAACCCUAAUAACCUUGGAUCUAUAUUUGUCUAAUUAUCAUGCAAAGUUGAAUUCCAAGGUUAUAUUCCUAUCUAGCAUACAUGGGGAACAAUUUUUAACUUGAAUGAAAGAUAGAAUAACUUGCCUUGUUGUUUGUUAUGUUCCUUGAAACCUUGUGAGCCUAGCACCCCAAGUGUGAUGCCUCAAAUGCUUCACACAACACCAAAUGCUCUUCGAAAGACUUUUGAGAGAAUACACACUUCCUAAAAUCGGCCUAGCCCUCUUGUUUCAUAUGUGUAGCCGAUUUUGGUGGAGUAUGAGACUCUUAUAUAGUGUUGACACAUCUAGGGUUUCACCAUGUAAACCCUAAUGUGUAAUGACUUUUCAUUUCCAUGACCCAUGGGUUUGUAACUCCCAUAGAGCAUCCAUGGAGCAUCCUAUGGGUGGAACCCAACUUGAUAAUCCAUGGAGCAACUUAGCCCACUAUACAAUAUAUGGAUGAUUUACAUAAUCAACCCAUAUAUUUAAUUAGUUGUCUUUUGAUCACUUAAUUAAUUCUAAAUUAAUUCCUGAUCAAACUAAUCAAAUAAUAUUAUUAAUAUAUUAGAACUUAUAAUAUAUUAAUAAGCUCCAAGUGUUAUUUCUCUUAUUUAGUCUAUCCAAUUGGUUGGUGCCAUGCAACCCAAAUGGACCAUGUCGGGUCGGGUCAAGUACUUACCAGAAAUAGUUAUGGACUUAGACACCUUAUCCAACAGUCUGCCACUUGGAUAAGUCUAAUAACUAUAACUCUAGUACUUCAGGAACCGACCGGCAAUCGUAGCUCUUUCAAGGUCUCUCGGAACUGAGAAGAUGAUGAUACGCCAUUUAAGAUAAGUGAUCAUAUAAUCCUCUGUUCUAGAUAUCAGCCGGACAAAUACAUGGAACAAUGUCUUACUUAUUGUCCAGCAGUUUGUUUCCCGAUUUCCGAUUUGUUUGACAAAGAACUUAAUUGAACACAUCAACUUAGUUCUGACCGGGCCCGGUACAUAGGUCAAAACAAAAUCAUCGAGGGCNGAAUUACACACAAAAGUACGUUUUAUAACAUCGAGUUACCAAUGCGGUUUCGUACAGUCAAUGCAUAACCAACUUGUAAGUAACAAAUCAUAUCUCUAGGUUUGAAGACUUAUAUGAUAUUACCGUCUCACGAUCACUCGAGAUAGAAUUCCAUGAAGUGAUUCUAGUGAGCGUAGGUUGAGUCCAAUGCUCAGAACUUAUGAGCACUCAUGAUUGUUGUAGCCUUGUCCAACACCUUAGACCUCUGCAACUAAUCAUGACAGUCUUGAUUCAUACCUACUUCCGACAUAUGACCAACUGUGGAGGUUUGAAUAAUAUGUUAUACCAAACAAAAUUAUUCUGGAAGUCAAAACAUGCAAAAGAAAUAUAGUAAACGAUCGACAAGAGAUAGCAACACUUUACUCAUAAAUAAAACACCUUUUAUUCAUCAUCUAAUGUCAAUUACACUUUACAAAUUUCUAGGUUAUCUAACUACUAAAUCUAAUAUCAUCCUUCAGCCCUAUGCUCUGAGCAUGCUGGAGAUGCUUAACCCGAGUCAGUCCCUUCGUAAGGGGAUCUGCUGGAUUCUCAUCCGUGGAUACCCUCUUUGCCAUGAGCAGUCCUUCAUCUAUUCGAUGUCUUAUAAAAUGGUAUU
rnacentral:lncRNA from 1 species